GUGAGGAAUAUUGGUCAAUGGACGGAAGUCUGAACCAGCCAUGCCGCGUGCAGGAAUAAGGUCCUAUGGAUUGUAAACUGCUUUUAUUCGGGAAUAAACCUCUUUACGUGUAGGGAGCUGAAGGUACCGAAGGAAUAAGCACCGGCUAACUCCGUGCCAGCAGCCGCGGUAAUACGGAGGGUGCAAGCGUUAUCCGGAAUCAUUGGGUUUAAAGGGUCCGCAGGCGGGCUAUCAAGUCAGAGGUGAAAUCCCACAGCUUAACUGUGGAACUGCCUUUGAAACUGAUGGUCUUGAAUUAAGUGGGCGUUGGCGGAAUAUGACAUGUAGCAGUGAAAUGCAUAGAUAUGUCAUGGAACACCGAAAGCGAAGGCAGCUAACGAUACUUAUAUUGACGCUCAUGGACGAAAGCGUGGGUAGCGAACAGGAUUAGAAACCCCGGUAGUCC
rnacentral:rRNA from 1 species